rnacentral:misc_RNA from 1 species
UCUGGUGAUUACAUCCUUGUAUCUAAAGAGUCCAUGGCACAGUGAAGAGAAGAAAUAAGAAAUGCUGAAUAUAAACUUUGCCGCAUUUUGCUGUCAAUGAUUUGAGAUCAGACACCCUACAAUUUACUUAACAGGGAACUUUGAUAAAUAGAAAGGAAACACCCAUCAAAUUAUGGGAACUGAGGUCAUAGUAAAACGUUUAUGACAAACUAUUGAAAGACACAAACAAUGAAAAUGUGACAGAAAAGGCUUUGAUCACCCAUAAGAUGUUCUCAGCACCUCACAGAAGAGUGCAUCAUAACUUUGAACUUAUCACAAAGCUUAUAGAGGCAUAUGUUCCAACACAUUAAAAUAAAAUUCCCAGUGAUGCAGAAGCAUGAGGAUAACUAUGGCUCUUAUUCAAAUGUAAUUCCUAAUUUUUAAGCUAUGUAGCAUGAAAAUGGAAACACGGAUACGAGGAAACGAUAUUUUAAAAAAUAUAGG